GGGAGGGCCACCAACUUGGCCACGUUCAACUUUUCUUAGCCAUCGAUCUUUCCGCUUGUUAUUAAUCGUGUGCGUCCAUUCUACACACCCCACUAUAUAGUAAUAGGAUGGCGCCCCUCUUCUCUUCGUUAUCUACUUCCUAUUCUGCUCAUCUCUUUGAAUCAGAUCUCGUCUUCAUGGAUUCUCUUCAAGGUCCAUGGUUUCUGCUGUCGUGUAGAUCUCUCUUUGAUCUACAUACUGAUGGUAGUUUCAUGGGUAAUCUGAAUUGGGUCGUUUGAAUCUAUGGUUUGACAAGUAGCAGAUUUGUCAUGGUUCUGUUGCCUGCUGCUUCAAAUUUUCCCUGCAUGGAUCCUUUUAAGGGUUUUGUGGCGUUUGUCAAAAAAGGAUGACCAUGGGUUCUAUUCAGCUUGCAGUUUAUUUCCUCCUGGUGGUGUUGAUUUAUUUGGCUGGAACUUCUAUAUGCAUGCGUGUACUUGAUCACUGGUUCUGAUCUUUGCUGGGUAGCCUUUAUAUCAUGCAAUUAUAUGAGGCUAAGAAGACAUGUAAUUCAUUGAUUGAUGUGGAUAGCAGGAGAUGGGUUUUGUGACAUAUGGAUGUAUAAGAUAUAUCAGGACGAAAAGCCCAGUAUUGUUUGAUUCAUGGGGGGCUUGAAGUCCUCGGUUAAUAUCUUUGUCAUCCGACCUUUGCCAUGACAGGUGCGCUUGCAUGGCAGGUCACCAAAAUUCUUAAUAAAAUUUUUGAUUUCGUGUUUUUUGAGGGGAGAUCGCACGGGAAUUGCCCGGGUUCUCCUCUCUCUGGUGUGAUUUGUUCCGCUUUCUUAUUUUAUUUCUCCUCCAAAAUUCCAAUCCGUAACUGAUACCAGAGCUCUCUUGAAGCGCGUCAACAAUUUACAACUUGAAGGCUUUUGCUCUCAAGGUAAUCUCUAACUGAUCUCCCGUAUUCGAAUUUGUUCAAAAGGCCUUCCUGAAUUAUAUUGCUCAAAUCUACAUUUGCAACAUGCUUGCUAGCUAUUCGGGGCAAUGCUUCUCUUUGAUUGCUUUAAUUUUCUAAAUGGGUAUAACUAAAUAAUAUUUUGGAUGUUUGAAAUUGGCAGUUUUCAUAGAUUGUGGAGUUCUUCGAAACCCGGGUUACCUUAUCAAGGUAAAAGAAAUUGCGUUUAUGAUUUGGAGAAAAUGGUAUAAAAUUUGUCUUUUCAAAGCUAAACAAAAGAAAUCACUGCCUAUGUUGAUUCAUGAGUUGCCCUGAUCCUGCAAAUUAACAAAUUCCAAUUAUUUAAUGAUCUUGCAAGCAUGUAUCUGCAGUUAAUAUUUAUUUUUCUUUUUUCCCCGAUGCCAAUGCAAAUAAUCAUUUUGUUUCGUCCAAGCAUAUGCCGAUCAAACAAUAUUUUGUUGUUAUUGUCUCUCAAUCAUCAAAUCAGUUAACAGCUAGUAAUAGUACUGAAAAUUUGCUGAAUGUUUAUAAUUUGCUGGAUCAGUUACUGAAAUAGUUAUAUAACAAAGCAACUUUAUGUUGCUGUGCGUUAGCCCAAAUUCUCUAAUGAUGUAGUUUACCUUUUGAGAGUUUUAGGAACUAGUUUACAGUUUUUGCAGUUGUAAGUUGAUUGUAUUUUACUAAAAUAAUAAAUGUAUUGUGUAUGCAAUUGUGCCUAUUUAUCUGUUCUUUUUGUUGGGAUCGGAAAUCGUUUGGCGCAUGGAAGGCUUGCUUCAUAGUCUGGUCAUUUGCUUGUACAUGGAGGAUGAUUGCUAGUGGCUUCAUAAUGAUUUCUUGGAGGAAAAGUGUAUGCUAAGGAGGGAUUUCAGCUCUGCUGCGGCCUCUGAGGUGAUAAAAUCAAGUUUUAUGAUAUUCUUCGCACUUCUCAACCAGAUAGUGAAUGUUUACUAUUUACGAGUUUAAUUUUUCAUAUAUGAUGUUUAUAUGAAGUAUGGUAUUUGAUCAGUAAUUUAGAUUUUUUUUAUU